UCUGGCAUUGCUGUGGCUGUGGUGUAGGCCGGCAGCUACAGCUCUGAUUCGACCCCUAGCCUGGGAACCUCCAUAUGCUGCAGGUGCGGCCCUAAAAAGGCAAAAAGACCAAAGGAAAAAAAAAAAGAAAAGAAAGAGAAAGAAAGAGCUCUUAUAAUCAUGAUGAUUUUAUGAAAUUAACCCUCAGACUUCUCUGGACUGAGUCGCCCCUUCCCCCCAACCUCCAACAUCUGUCAUAAAGUCUAGAUACGGAAUUGGGUAUGCAGUAAAUCCAGAUCAAUUCCGUGGCAGCCCCUAAACCAAGCCUAGAUAAUGCAUCUAGAGGGAGGUUGACAGCAGAGCCGAGCUUUAAAUUGGCUGUCCAGGCGCCGUUUCUUGAAAGCCUGGGCUGACUACUCAAGGGUCUAGAUGCAAAAUGGAAAUUGUGGCAGCAGCGUAACUGCAGGGGUGUUUCUCUUUCAGGCACGGCUGUGACCGCAGCUUGGGAGCUGGGCCUUUAAGCAAAACUCUCCCCUAGAGGCGUGGAAGCUGCCCAAAGCCCUUAGAACCUUACAAAAUCGGGAAGUGAUUCCAAGGCUGCUGAGGCCCUGUCGUAAGAUGGCCCAAGGGAGGUGGGGGAGGGCCGAAAGGGCAGGAGCUGGCAGCCAAGUGCUUCCAGAAGGAGGUGGCCCUGUGAAGGCGACGCCUGCCUCUUCAGUGACCCUCGGGAACCUUCAGAUCGUUUGAAAAGAUCCAGGAGCCUGGAGCUUCAGGGGUCCCUCCUUGAGCCCUGCAUUUCACUUGGACAGGGGUUUUCUGAGAUUGAAGACAGAUUUGUCAUUGCUGGUGAGUAAUGGAUGCCUCGUCCUGGAAUGAGCUUGGGGGUGGGGUCGCUGCCCUGCUCAGCUACAAGGGGCACCCCACCUUCUCUGCGCAGGCACAGACUGCAGGGCCGGGCAGCUCGGGGUCCUGGGAUCUGGCGAUAAAUCCUAAAGAGGAGAAUGAACGUGGAUAAUACAGCCCGCAGGGACAAGGGCCCAGGAGCUCUAGGAGGAACUGAUUGACACAGCCCCUGAGGGGGAGGGGGAGGACUGGGGUGGUGCUCUUGCCUGGCUUUUAGAGAUGCCAGACUUUUGGCGUGGGAAGGAAUUGGCAUGAGUGUGUUCCAGGCAUAAGGAAUAGCAUGUGCUAAGGCCUCUGGGCUGCAAGGUGCCAGAUGUGUUGAAGCUCUUCCUGUGCCUCCACCUCUCUCUCUGGUGGAGUUUCAUUCUGUUGGAGGGCAAGGAGAGGCACAGUCUGUUCCUGGGCUGGGUUGGGCUGGCUGCCCUCUGGAGACCGGCCAGAACAUUCCAGCCUGGCCUCUGAGGAUUCUCUCAGUCUGUCUGUCCUGUGGCCUGAGUCCAAAGCUGUGGCAUGUAAGUGGCAGUUUGCAUCUCCCCCUGAGUGCCCCCUGUCCUCCUCACGGGCCGAUGCUCCAGCCAGCACGUGGCUGAGCCAUGCGGUGGAAAUGCUGGCUUUGGAGGCGGCCAGCUCCUGAUCAGGGCCUGUGUGGGGCACGAGGAAGCAGGAGAACCGCUUCCUUCUCUAAGGUCAGGUUGAGCUUGGCAGUUUUAAAAUAAGGGAAACAGGAGUUCCCGUCGUGGCUCAGUGGUUAACGAAUCCGACUAGGAACUAUGAGGUUUAGGGUUCGAUCCCCGGCCUGGCUUAGUGGGUUAAGGAUCCGGCAUUGCCGGGAGCUGUGGUGUAGGUUGCAGACACGGCUCGGAUCCUGCGUGCCUGUGGCUGUGAUAUAGGCUGGCAGCUAUAGCUCCGAUUGGACCCCUGGCCUGGGAACCUCCAUAUGCAGCAGGAGCGGCCCAAGAAUUGGCAAAAUAAAUAAAUAAAUUAAUAAUAAUAAUAAAAUAAAAUAAGGUCCUUUCCGUUCCUCUUUGCGUCCCCUUUCCCUUUGCCCCUGUGGCUGAACCCCCUCGCCCGAAAACACACCACCCUCUUGACUGAUGCCUCUUCCUGGGCCCUCUGCUGAGAAGGUCCAUCCUGAGUGGUGACCCUCUCCUGGGCGAGAAACAUGCAACCUGGUGGUAAUUCACACGAGUGUGUGAAGGACUCAUGGAAUCACAUCUCCUCCAGGACACCUGGGCUGUGUGUGUGUCGGGGGCCGGGGGGUUUAGACGGUGGGCUGCCAGGGGGACAGGUGAGCCAGCCUGAUGUCUGUCGGCAGACAUUCACUAUUCCCGCUGUUCCCAGGGUCCUCCUUUCUUUGGCUUCUCAAUUUGGAAGCUCUUUGAAGCCUGCAGCGUUUUCAGGGUGGGGAGGGCCUUUGGCGGCAGGUGGGGGGGGAGCCCUGGUGUGUGGGCUUAUAAGCUACAGCUCCUUUGACUGCAGACCCUGGAUCGAGCGCAGCCGGGGCCGGCUCGGAGUGAGCCCGCAGGAACCCACUGAAACCAAGUUUGAAGGUCAGAAGCAAAAUGCAUCCUUGCAGGGGUGGGGUGGGGGUUGCAUUGGCCACUGAUGGCACAUAAAGGCCUUCUGUUGUCCUCUGAUUGGGGUGGCCCUGGUUUUUUUUUUGGCUCCGAGGACCAUGGGAGAUAGUGUUUUUUUUCCUGAAUUUCUUCCCACUGUUACCAGGAAGUAAUCGAAUCUGCAUCUUAAAAAGGAAAUUUUAUUGCACAUCUCCUCUACUCUAAAAACAAUAUAGGAAUUCCCCAGAGGCCUAGUUAAGGAUUUGGCGUUGUCACUGUGGGGCUCAGGUUUGAUCCCUGGCCCAGGAACUUCCGCAUGGCAGGGUGUGGCCAAAAAAAGAAAAAAAAA
ensembl:lncRNA